rnacentral:rRNA from 1 species
GCCGAGGACAAGCUUCUUUGCGAGUGUUGGAGAGACAUUGGGCAAGACCCCAAGAUGGGCGCCGAACAAAAGGAUUCAACCUUUUGAAUUCAUGUCCACCGUGAGUUCCAUGAGCGCAAGAAGUUUCCGCCGUACCAAAUAGUAAGCGCGAGCGGGUGGCUGUCCAUUUCGAAGCGAUGGAGGGUCAUCCAACAAGAGUGCAACAAGUUUUGUGCCACUCUUAAGAGCGUCAAGGCCCACCCCGUGAGCGGCAUUGGCAUGCAAGACAUGGUAUUCUAG